GUUUCCAAUUUUAUUUGUUAUUAUAAAGAAAUAUUACCUUUUGAAGACAUUCACAACUAGAUAUAUGAAAUAUUUACUAAAGCAUUGAGAAAAUGCUGUUUAUGCCUUAACUAAAAUAUAAAGGAGAAUGAAAGAUAUAUGUAACUGAUAAAUUAUUUUUAUUGUGGAAAAUACAUAAUAUAAAAUCCUUUUUAAUCAUUUUUAAGUAAACAGCUCAUUGGCAUUAAGUACAUUCAUAUUGUGCAAUUAUUACUACUAUCCAUCUCUGGAAUUUUUACAUCUUCUCUAAACAAACAUCUGUAUCUAUUUACCAAUAACUCCCCAUUCUUCUUUCCCCCCACUUUCUAGCAACCACCAUUUUUCUUUCUGUCUUUGUUAAACUGAAUACUCCGGAUACCUUAAUAUAGGUGGAAUCACACGAUGUCUGUCCUUGGGAUUAGUUAGGUGAGUAUUUCAAAGUAAAAUUACAGUUAUGAAUGAGAAAGAAAGCCAAGAGAAACCCUCUGCUUCAAGUCUGUAUUUUAUUAGCUUUUAUUUUGUAUUUUUAAGGUCUCUUUCAUUCAAGUAAUUAUACCAUAGCUCCACUGCUUCCAUGCAAUGUUUAUUAUUGAUAGUGACCUCUAAUAUGCUUUCAGAAUUAUGGGGAUAUUAUUGGUGAAGUUCUUUUUAUUCUACAAGUGAAUCAGUUGACUAUUUGGAUUAACAGUGUAGGUCUAAAAGUUUCAUAUAAGUUGUAGAUGAGAAAAUAUUUCUAAAUGUUUUUGUUGAAUAGUCAUAUAAUGAUGGUGGUAUCUUUUUGAGUCUUUGCAAUACUCUAACAAAAAGGAUAACCAAAAGGAUAUUUUUCAGUUUUAUUAUUUCUGAUAUUCAAAGUAUUAAAUGAUUUGUUUUGUAGAAAAUUAUGGGAACUCUUAUUUUUUAUUACUAUUUGUCAAGAUGAUUCCAUAUGUCUGCCCUAAACUAGAUAAAGUAAAAAUUACCACAGGGUUUUCCAUGUAAUUUGGUGUUUUAUUUUAGAAAAAGCUAAAAGAAAAAGGUUGAAACAACUGAAUUAAUCUCCUGUGACCAACAUCCAGAAUAAGGUUUUAAAACUACUCUUGAUCAUCUGAGUUUGAGGAUUCAGUUUAUACAGUUUUUUAAAAUUUAUUUAUUUAAAAAAUUUUUUUAAUGAUAGACACAAUAGCUUUAUUUUACUAAUUUAUUUUUUUAUGUGAUGCUGAGGAUCGAACCCAUGCCUCAUGCAUGCUAGGCAAACACUCUACUACUGAGCCAC
rnacentral:lncRNA from 1 species